GUGAAAUUGAACUCGCUGUGAAGAUGCAGUGUACCCGCGGCAAGACGGAAAGACCCCGUGAACCUUUACUAUAGCUUGACACUGAACAUUGAGCCUUGAUGUGUAGGAUAGGUGGGAGGCUUUGAAGUGUGGACGCCAGUCUGCAUGGAGCCGACCUUGAAAUACCACCCUUUAAUGUUUGAUGUUCUAACGUGGACCCGUGAUCCGGGUUGCGGACAGUGUCUGGUGGGUAGUUUGACUGGGGCGGUCUCCUCC
rnacentral:rRNA from 3 species